GUAAAAUACUUUUACUGUAGGAAGCAGAAUCAUUAGAAGAGGAACUAUCCUUAAUACAUUAUUUUUCUUGAUUCAAACAGAUAAAAAAAGAAGAAGCAACCGGUUGCUAAGCAAGAUAAUUACAUGAUAACUCCUUACAACUUCUUAAUUUGUGAGACAAUGAUCUGGAUAUUAGAUAUUGAUAGUCCUAUUAACAUUUGUAAUUCAUUGCAGGG
rnacentral:lncRNA from 1 species